rnacentral:tRNA from 1 species
UGCAUCGGCCGGGAAUCGAACCCGGGGCGCCCGCGUAGCAGGCGAGCAUUCUACCACUGAACCACAUUGGCGGCGC